rnacentral:rRNA from 1 species
UUUUGGGGAAACCGGCCAGAACCUUACCUACUCUUGACAUCCAGAGAACUUAGCAGAGAUGCUUUGGUGCCUUCGGGAACUCUGAGACAGGUGCUGCAUGGCUGUCGUCAGCUCGUGUUGUGAAAUGUUGGGUUAAGUCCCGCAACGAGCGCAACCCUUAUCCUUUGUUGCCAGCGGUCCGGCCGGGAACUCAAAGGAGACUGCCAGUGAUAAACUGGAGGAAGGUGGGGAUGACGUCAAGUCAUCAUGGCCCUUACGAGUAGGGCUACACACGUGCUACAAUGGCGCAUACAAAGAGAAGCGACCUCGCGAGAGCAAGCGGACCUCAUAAAGUGCGUCGUAGUCCGGAUUGGAGUCUGCAACUCGACUCCAUGAAGUCGGAAUCGCUAGUAAUCGUGGAUCAGAAUGCCACGGUGAAUACGUUCCCGGGUCUG